GCUAAGCCAUAAACAUUGAUAUAACCUUACUAAAUCUUCCGCCAGAAUAUUACAAGUGAAAAACUUAAAACUCAAAGGACUUGGCGGUGUCCCAACCGACCUAGAGGAGCCUGUCCUAUAAUCGAUACCCCCCGUUUCACCCAACCUCUACUAGCACCCCUCAGCCUAUAUACCGCCGUCGACAGUCUACCCCAUGAGGGCCCAAUAGUAGACAAAAUAGUUUUAUCACUAAAACGUCAGGUCAAGGUGUAGCAAAUGUUGAGGAAGCGAUUGGCUACAUUUUUUAUAGUAAAAAACACGAAAUACAAUAUGAAACCCUGUAUGAAGGUGAAUUUAGCAGUAAAGUGGAUAAGAGAACCCACUUUAACACCGCCCUGGGACGCGC
rnacentral:rRNA from 1 species